AUUGAUGCAAUAUAGAGAAGUUCCAUUUAUAAAAUAUGCAUCUAAGAAAAAUUAGGAUUGAAAGAAUGAAUAACUGAAAUAAUUUGGCUGUUAAAUCAAAAAGUAAACAUGCAGUAUGAAUGCAUAUCUCUUGUAGUUUUUGUGAAGAAAAAUAUUUCGUGCUAUUUCCUCUGUUAGGUUGAUGUAUAUACCGUACACCACCUGGGGCGUGAAACUGUCCUCUAACAGUGAUCUGUCCUCUAACAGGCAAUCAUUAUAUUAACCAAUAUGUGUAAUAUUUCAAUAGGUCCUGCCUCAGACAGUGUGAUAUUUAAAAACAUCAGGACGAGUUAGAGGUUAAACUGUGUUCCCAUUGAUUUUGUCUCAGUCAUCAUUUCAAUCAUCAAUCCUUUAUAGCUCUGUGUUAGAGAUAUUAUAGUGCAUCCUACUUCCCUGUGCUAUAAUGGCUAAAAGUUUUAUAGCUACCAUUUUUGUGCUGCACUUUAUUUAGUAUGACAUUCUUUUGCAAAUAUGUAAAGAUAGGUUUGCAGGCAGGCUUAGACACUGCAACAUCGGGACCAUUUGGAAGGCUACUAGUGUUGAGUUUGAAAGCAAUGCUGCCAGUGAGACCCCCACCGAUCCCCCCAUAGUCAGUGCUUUAUGGUGCACGACUUCACGGAAACCAUGUGACUUUCCCACAUAGCAAAACAGAAGGAGAAGAGGGGGAAAGGGGGAAGGGGAUCAAUUUAGGUACAAGGACGCAUUUGACAGCUUGGUGUAGAAAACAAAAGAAUAGAUUAAAAUGGUGAGAAGAGGAGAUGAGACAGGAGAAUCACAGUGCAAUACCUAAUUUAGAAUGAAGGAAGGAAGACAAAGAGACUGUGAGAACGUUAAUCCAAUUUUGUGUCAGAAAAAAACAGCACAGCUGAGAGAGGUCCAGCACAUUUCUAAAGCAUGUACAGAAUUAAAAGGAGACUGUCAUCAUCUUUUACCUCUACCUCAGCAGGCUGCUUCUGUACCUUCUGCUGCUGUGGAUGGUACCAAAUAACUCAAAGAUUGCACUCCUCAGAAAAGUCCAACCCUUUCUUCAAUGGAUAAUCUCAUGUGUAUACUGUAGAUUUGUGCCAAAGAAAUGCUUCUGUUAACAUAAAGACUCCCCUGUACUCAA